UACGUAGGGGGCAAGCGUUGUCCGGAAUCAUUGGGCGUAAAGCGCGUGUAGGCGGCCCGAUAAGUCCGCCGUGAAAGUCCAGGGCUCAACCCAGGAAUGCCGGUGGAUACUGUCGGGCUAGAGUCCGGAAGGGGCGAGUGGAAUUCCUGGUGUAGCGGUGAAAUGCGCAGAUAUCAGGAGGAACACCGAUGGCGAAGGCAGCUCGCUGGGACGGUACUGACGCUGAGACGCGAAAGCGUGGGGAGCAAACAGG
rnacentral:rRNA from 1 species